CUUCAGCUCUUCACAGUUUCUCUUCUGUUAGCCCCUCCCUUGUGCCCGAGCAGAGAAAGAAGUCCAGCUUUAUCCUCACUGUGGCUGGGGUUGCCUUACAAUCGAAGGAAACCAUAGGACAAUGGCUGGAAGAAAUGCAGAUUUGGCUGAGACAGUUUACCACUCUUUCCAUGGGCUGCAUGUGCUUGUACAGUGACAGACAGGCACCAGAAGAGGACAUCGGAUCCCAUUACAGAUUGUUGUGAGCCGACAUGUGGUUGCUGGGAAUUGAACUCAGGACCUCUGGAAGAACAAUCAGUGCUCUUAACCGCUGAGCCAUCUCUCCAGGUCAACUUUGCUAUAUUUUACUUUUUUCUGUAACGAGUAUUCUCUCUCUCUCUCUCUCUCUCUCUCUCUCUCUCUCUCUCUCUCUCUCACACACACACACACACACACACACACACACACACAC
ensembl:lncRNA